AACGAACGCUGGCGGCAGGCCUAACACAUGCAAGUAGAGCGAGGUAGCAAUACCUAGCGGCGGACGGGUGAGUAACGCGUGGGAACGUGCCCUUUGCUACGGAAUAGCCCUGGGAAACUGGGAGUAAUACCGUAUGUGCCCUUUGGGGGAAAGAUUUAUCGGCAAAGGAUCGGCCCGCGUUGGAUUAGGUAGUUGGUGGGGUAAUGGCCUACCAAGCCGACGAUCCAUAGCUGGUUUGAGAGGAUGAUCAGCCACACUGGGACUGAGACACGGCCCAGACUCCUACGGGAGGCAGCAGUGGGGAAUCUUAGACGAUGGGCGCAAGCCUGAUCUAGCCAUGCCGCGUGAGCGAUGAAGGCCUUAGGGUUGUAAAGCUCUUUCGUGGGGGAAGAUAAUGGCUGUACCCCAAGAAGAAGCCCCGGCUAACUCCGUGCCAGCCGCCGCGGUAA
rnacentral:rRNA from 1 species